rnacentral:rRNA from 1 species
AGCGAACGCUGGCGGCAGGCCUAACACAUGCAAGUCGAGCGCCCAGCAAUGGGAGCGGCAGGCGGGUGAGUAACGCGUGGGGAUCUGCCCAAUGGUACGGAAUAACCCAGGGAAACUUGGACUAAUACCGUAUGUGCCCUUCGGGGGAAAGAUUUAUCGCCAUUGGAUGAACCCGCGUCGGAUUAGCUAGUUGGUGAGGUAAAGGCUCACCAAGGCGACGAUCCGUAGCUGGUCUGAGAGGAUGAUCAGCCACACUGGGACUGAGACACGGCCCAGACUCCUACGGGAGGCAGCAGUGGGGAAUAUUGGACAAUGGGCGCAAACCUGAUCCAGCCAUGCCGCGUGAGUGAUGAAGGCCUUAGGGUUGUAAAGCUCUUUCGCCGGUGAAGAUAAUGACGGUAACCGGAGAAGAAGCCCCGGCUAACUUCGUGCCAGCCGCCGCCGUAACAC